GCCGGGCCUCUCCGCAUGGAAGCGCGCCCAACCGGGUCAGGUGGGGAACCAAGCAGCCCUAAGCGUUGCAACCAGUGCCGGGGUAAGGCUCGGCACC
rnacentral:SRP_RNA from 1 species